rnacentral:lncRNA from 1 species
GUAGAUACAUUCUUGCUGGGUAUAGUUACUUUAUUCUUUAAAUGGUUCACAGGUGCUGGUUCACACUCCUUGGUAACUUUUUGACCUAAUUCUGUCUCCAGGAUUCCAUGUCUCUUAACUGAACUGACUUUGAAAUAUGGGAAAGCUUAAAAAGAAGGGUUAACUGGUGAUUCAAAGGACUUUCCUUUAAAGGGAACCCUCCAAAGUUAUUAUAAGACAAAAAUCCCAUAUCUCCAAAAAUAACUGUUUAUUGCCUUGGAAUUGGGCUUGUGGAUAUAAGCAGUUUACAUGCUGAUCUAUGGGAGUGGUAAUUCUUGAUGAAAUUCUUGUUGAAAUUCAGUCUGUGUAGUUGACAUUUUGGUGAAGGAGUUGACUUUUGUCUCUUUCUGCUUCUUAGAAACUCUUGCUGUGCUCAUCAGGACUUUUGUGUCCAUCAGAGAAUCAGAGAGAACAGGUUCUGUCUGUCCAGUUCUCCAAGAUUAGUUCUCAGGAGCCAUGUAAAUGGCCCCAGAGAAUUUGAGCUUUAAAGUCAACAUUUGUUUGAUUUCAUAGACAUCCCUUGGAAAGAUUAUCUCAGAUUACUGGAAGACUUUAUUGUUAAAGUUUUAGAGAAUUUUGCAUUCUGCC